UACGUAGGUGGCAAGCGUUGUCCGGAAUUAUUGGGCGUAAAGAGCGCGCAGGCGGUCCUUCAAGUCAGAUGUGAAAGCCCACGGCUCAACCGUGGAGGGUCAUUUGAAACUGGGGGACUUGAGUGCAGAAGAGGAAAGCGGAAUUCCACGUGUAGCGGUGAAAUGCGUAGAGAUGUGGAGGAACACCAGUGGCGAAGGCGGCUUUCUGGUCUGUAACUGACGCUGAGGCGCGAAAGCGUGGGGAGCAAACGGG
rnacentral:rRNA from 1 species